rnacentral:rRNA from 1 species
GACGAACGCUGGCGGCGUGCUUAACACAUGCAAGUCGAACGGAAAGGCCCUGCUUUUGUGGGGUGCUCGAGUGGCGAACGGGUGAGUAACACGUGAGUAACCUGCCCUUGACUUUGGGAUAACUUCAGGAAACUGGGGCUAAUACCGGAUAGGAGCUCCUGCUGCAUGGUGGGGUUGGAAAGUUUCGGCGGUUGGGGAUGGACUCGCGGCUUAUCAGCUGGUUGGUGGGGUAGUGGCUUACCAAGGCUUUGACGGGUAGCCGGCCUGAGAGGGUGACCGGCCACAUUGGGACUGAGAUACGGCCCAGACUCCUACGGGAGGCAGCAGUGGGGAAUAUUGCACAAUGGGCGGAAGCCUGAUGCAGCAACGCCGCGUGCGGGAUGACGGCCUUCGGGUUGUAAACCGCUUUCGCCUGUGACGAAGCGUGAGUGACGGUAAUGGGUAAAGAAGCACCGGCUAACUACGUG